rnacentral:rRNA from 1 species
GGAAGGUUAUUUUUAAUUUUAUUUUCAUUUUAUUAUAUUUUUUGACAAUAUUUAUUUAGAGGGGAAGUACACAACUCAACAUAGUAGUACAGUAGACGGAGGAGUACGUUUACUACGGUUCUUCACUAUUCGUCGUCCGCGCUCCCACUAUCUAGUCGCUCUCGGCUUGCGGCGAGCUUAGAGUCGAGGCACCUGACCAUUUUUCCGCCGCGCAAACUCCUCUAAGCCGCCCCGGGACCACGGCCCUUCUACUUGUUCCUGUCCAGGGCCUAGAGCCGCCUACCGCCGCCGCCGCUGCCGGACGGCGGCGUCGGGAGCGCGGCGAGCAGCUGAGGGGGCGGCCUCAUGCUGUAGUCGGCGUACGGCCUGAAGGGGUGGUCCUUGGGGCCGGUGGCCGCGCGCGUGAGGCUCUAGGAGUCGGAGGGGCUGCUGGAGCUGGAAACGCGCGGGCCCCCGCCGCUGCCCGGGAGCGACAGCCUGCUCUUGCUGCUCCUCGAGAAGAGGUACAAGGAGCUGCACCUGUUCGAGUUGAGCAGCACGCCCGGCAGCAGCCUGGUCCGCCUCAGCAGCAGUCGGCGACGACGGCCGCCCCCGCUCCGCCGGUCCCGCCCGGUGCACUACUCCGGCUUCGUGGUCGUGUCGGUCAGGUACCUGCUCAGCUACAGCUAGUUCCGGCUCCUGGACCACCCCCGCGGCCCCUACCUCCCCUACAGGUGACACCUCCGGUUCUUCCGCCACAGGCGCCGCUUCGACCGGCUCGAACGAGAACAGCUGGGGUUCUCCCGUUUUUCCUAAACCCGAUUAUCUGUUAGACGCCGUUCUAGCUUCCUUUCCUUUUACGCGAUAUAACCACUUGAACUCGCGUUCCACGUUUGGGACGUCUGUCUUCGUUGUUGUAACAGUCGGGUUAACAGUAACGAUGUCUCUCUAUGGUCACCCGAUUGUUCACUCUUAUCACUUAACUUCUAUGCAGACGUCUUGUACCUCGUCGUUCAGGUGGAUGUUCUACGAGAUUUACUGUGGGACUUUUGCCUCCAAGUCGCCGACUUCCACCGUUGUCCGGUCUACCCGUUGCCACCCCCCUACGACUACUUGAUGCCGCCGUACAGUGUCCGCGGCGUGGUUAAGCCUUCGUUGGUCGUCUACAAGGUGUUGUCGGUCAGGUACGUCAGAGACGAUCGCUGCGUGGUCGACGUUGUCGAGGUCGAGGUGGUCGUCGGGGUCGUCGUCGUCGUCGGCUACGCGGGAGUCGUGGUGGUGGUGGUCGUCGUCGUCGGUGACGUGGGCGACGUCCGUGUCGACAAGGUCGUCCGCCGCGCGCUGGAGUUCUACUUUCCCGGCUACACCCCGCUACCCUUCAGUAGCCCUCCGCCACCGUAGACUUUGUUGAUCCAGGCUUCUACUACUACUACUACGCGCCCACAUCACCGAAACCACAACCGAAAAAAUCAAAGCCAACUUGUCAACCCUACUAGCUAGUGUCCACAACUGUCACAGCACCCGCCGCAAACAGACAUCAACAACUUCCUUCAGUGAAACCCUUAAGAUCCAACUUGGAAAACCAAAACCAGGCCAUCUCCUACGUAACAACGCAGGUCAAUACCCGUAUGAGGUACAACAACAACAACAACAACAGCAACAACAACAAUUGAAUUUGAGUCCGUGACUACCCAAACGGGCAACCCGUACAAUCUUUACUUGUCUGAUUAACGUUCUGACGAUCUCACGACCUUGGUAAAAUAAAC